UACGUAGGUGGCAAGCGUUGUCCGGAAUUAUUGGGCGUAAAGCGCGCGCAGGUGGGAUAUUAAGUCUGGUGUUAAAGUUCGGGGCUCAACCCCGUGAAGCAUUUGGAAACUGAUAUUCUUGAGUGCAGGAGAGGAAAGUGGAAUUCCUAGUGUAGCGGUGAAAUGCGUAGAUAUUAGGAGGAACACCAGUGGCGAAGGCGACUUUCUGGACUGUGUCUGACACUGAGGCGCGAAAGCCAGGGUAGUGAACGGG
rnacentral:rRNA from 2 species